rnacentral:rRNA from 1 species
UACGUAGGGGGCAAGCGUUGUCCGGAUUUAUUGGGCGUAAAGAGCGUGUAGGCGGCUUUACAGGUCCGUUGUGAAAACUCGAGGCUCAACCUCGAGACGCCGGUGGAAACCGUAAAGCUAGAGUCCGGAAGAGGAGAGUGGAAUUCCUGGUGUAGCGGUGAAAUGCGCAGAUAUCAGGAAGAGCACCCGUGGCGAAGGCGGCUCUCUGGGACGGUACUGACGCUGAGACGCGAAAGCGUGGGGAGCGAACAGG